rnacentral:lncRNA from 1 species
AGCAACUCUGGAAGCCAGUAUAGAAGGACUCCUCAGAGCUAUUCUGCCCAAGGGGAGAAGGAGCUGGUGUAUGUUAAAUUGAUUUCCACCAGUCAUUGGAUGAGAGUACUCUCAGGAGACACUAAUUCACCUUUAAUUCUGGUCUGCCACAAGGGUGGGCAAAAUGGCUUGGAUCAGAGAAUGCCCUCAACGAAGAAAUGCAGCUGCUACCAUGUAGAAGUCAGGUUGAUGUGGUAAGGGACCGGGGAUAUGGGAAAGACACAGACACUGAUGCCUUGUAAGCUCCUGGGAAUACCAAAAUGUACUGAAUCUUUGCAUUAAAAAAAAGCCAUCAUCUAUCAAGGCAGAAAGACAUGGAUUAGACUAAUUACAAUGUCAUGUGAUAAUAACAAUAGUGUUUAAGGGAACAUGGCAGAGGAGGCAACAAAUUGUGCAUGAGAAAAAGAGAAAGGGAAAGGAGAGCAGAGGUUCUUUGCAAGGGAUUGAUGUAUCUCUUCAUGUGCAGAGGAGGGGGAAGAUAUGGCUCUAUUUCAUAGUGAGUAUAUAUCACUAGCCAAAGUAUAAUCAGCAAUUGAAGGCUGAAUCUGCAUAAUUGCUCUUUAUUGCAUAUCCUUUCUCUGAUUUGAAGGCCACCACAUUUUGUAUUGUUAGACAGUCUUGAGGUGAUGGAGAAACUGUUCUAUGUCCGGAUUUUGAUAUUACAUAUUUCUACCUCCAUCUCAAUGUGAGACAAUCUCUGAUAAUAAGCCGAAUACGGUUGUCCCUCCAAGAUUGAAGAAGCCACACGGCCUCCUCUCAUUCAUCAUAGUUGAGUUCACACUUGAAAUUGAGGAGGUCAUUCUCCCACUAGACACCAUCAUUGCCUGUGUGCUCAUGAUAAUAGACAGUGACAUCACCUUGGGACCUUGAGAGGGUUAUAAUUUGAGGACAUGAGAGUUGCUAAUGAAACAGAAUAGGGUUUUUACCCAUGAUCUUUUCAUGCUAGAGACAAGGUUUGUUGAGGCUUUAAAGAGUCUCUAAUUUUGUGUGUUGUACCAGACACAAUAGAGCAGUACUAUAGAAAAGCAAGCCCUCUGAUGAGAAAUGGCCUCAUUCUCCUACCCUCAGGCAAUGGAGGUAGAAGGUCUGCCAGGUCAAAGGGGAAGAAUCCUACUAAGAGUCUUUUGGGGUAUUGGCUUGGGUUGAUGCAUACCUCUCAAAACAUUCAUCUCCAGUCAUAUGACCUGUAUAUUUGCAAACGCAGACACGAUUAGCCUGCCUAGGCCACCAUAAGGUGUAGUACAGUUGCUGAGUAUGUGGGCCUCAGCACCAGACUGCCUAGAUUUGACCAGCUUCUCUGUCUCUCACAGCUUGCCAGCUCUAAGGAUUCUGAACAUUAGCUUCUGGAUUUGGAAAAAGGAUAUCGUUAACAGUAGUACUUAUCAAUUUUGUAGAGAACAAAUGAGAGCAUGCAUAUGACACACUUAACAUGUUGUUGGGCACAUCAUGAGGAACACAUUGCCUUUGCAUACCCCACCCAUACUCCAAGUCUUCACGUCAUUUUCCACCUCUUCCUUACACUUCGGCCAUUAUCAAUUCCCCUUAUUCAGAACUUCUAAUCUCCAUGACAUAAUUCCAUAUAUAGCUGUACAAUUAUAUAGAGAGGAGUUGGCUUCUGUUGCUCAGACUUGUUUUAUGUCUGUUAUUUCAUUUGCUGAGGAAGAUGAUGCAUUGCUAAAGGACAAAAGUUGCCUGUCACUGCUUCUGUAAGUUCUCAAAGUUGCUAUACGUUAGGCACAUCAUAAAUGUCCCUCAUAAAUACUUUGUAAUUAAUUUGUACCUUACUACAAAGUUAACUUGAAUUUGUACAUAAGCAGCAAGUACUUCCUCUGCUUAAGAAAAGAACAAGUAAAUUAUUUCAGAGAGCAUUCUCCUUAGUUCUGAAGGAACAUCAUCCCAGCAAGCAGCCCCCAGACUUUUCCCUUUCCUAUUCCCUGAGCAAGCUUGGGCUCUUCAUGUGUGUUGGAAAGUAAUAAGAGAAUAAAUUAUAGACUUCAUGUCUCAGACUUACAGUUUUCUCUCACUAUGCCCAAAUGAUUUGAGAUUGUUAAAUGAAAACAUUCCUAGGGUCCGGAGAAAAACUCUAUUUAGAAGCAAACUAUAGGACUAGAUAAAAUCUCAUAUGAAAGGGCAUGUUUUUGGUAUAUCAUAGCAUUUUCUUGAAAUAUGUUUAAGUACAUCACAAAUUUGCACUCAAAGAUGUAAAAAAAAGUUUACAAAAUGCCGUUAGUCAGAGACAAAGUCAUGUAAUGUGUAGCCCAUGGAGGAAGUAGUCCCUGUAUCUCUUCUGUUUUCCUUAGCCACCAACUGUUCUUUACCAUACCUCCACCCCACGAUCUACAAUCUAGUUCCAAUACAUCCCAAGCAGAAAGCUGUUGGGUGAUUGGAGAGAAAUCAUCUUUGCUCAUUCAUUUGAUUAUUCAUCAAAUAUUUAUGGAGGAUUAUUAAUGUGCUCAAAUCUGAGGAUGUAAAGUUAAAUAAUAAACACAUCCUUAGGCAUGCCUCCAGAUUCACAAGCCCCUAGCAUGGCUGUAAUUAAGAAAUGAUUAUAGGCUUGGUGUAUAACAACACAAAUCUUUAAGGUUUUUACUAUCCCACUAAUAGCACUGAGGGCAGACUCAUGCUAGACUGCCUGGAAUCAAAAGCCAUUUCUGCACUCUUACUAGCUGUAUGACCAUAAGCAACCAAAUACAAUUUCUGUUCUAUUUUGUAAUCUGUGAAAUAGGGAUGAUAAUAACCUUCUCUGUAAGGUUAUUGGAAGGAUUAAAUGAGUUAAUAUGCAAAGUGCUUAAAUGCUUGACACAUAGUAAGGACUCAUUAAUAUAAACCAACAAUGUUAUUAUUAACAAUUUCUGAGUUCCUACAAUGAAAAUGGUGUGAAAUAUACGCAUGGGUGCAGUGAGGAAUAAAGCACUGGCUAAGAAGUGAGCUGAUGGAUAACUUGGACACUAAGUCCCUUUACUUCUGUUCAUCUUUUGUCUGAGAAUUGUGCAUAAUACCUUCUGGCUUGAUCUUCUGGGACAUAUGUUUGAAAUACAUAAAAUAUCUUCCUACUCAAUAAGCCAACUGAGAAGUAUAAAUUUUUUUUAGAAAAGUCUGUUUUCAUGAUGUGUUUAAAAUUUUUAAAUGCUUUUUGAAUCUUUGUGGUCUGUCCUGGCGGCAAAGAUGGCAGGUAUCAAAGCAUCAAGGGCCUGAUGCUCUUUUUUAGCUUCAUGGUGACUGUGCCCAGGACCAGCCCAUGCUUGUGGCAGCAGCCCUUCUGUGGCAGAUGACAGAAUACUACUUCACCAAGAAAAUACAGAUCAUUGGAUGUGAACUUAUCUGACUACCUUCCCCUCCACCUGUAAAACUUAUUAUCAGAGUAAGGAAAUGGUAUUCCUCCUUCAGUGCAAAGGUAAUCUCUUCAUCUUCCUUAUGAGAUUGAUUCCUCCUGCUCCUUCCAGAACUCUCCUCCAUCAAUUAUCCUCUAUCUCACUCGUACUUUCAGUCUCCCUUUCCUUUAUUCUACAAAUGUACCCUUCUCAUCUUAAUUUUAAAAAAAAAAAAACCUCCUUUCCCUCAAAUUCUGUAAUCUAGUAUUCAAUCCCUCUCUUUCUCUUUGGCACCAAUCUUUUAAACGAUAAAUCUACAGACUUACUUUUCCCCACUUUCUCAAAUCUCAUUUACUCUACCAACUCAGUAUGGGCUUUUGUAUCACCACUCUAGGGAAAUUGGCCUUGCUAAGGUCAAAAAUGUCCCAGUGGUCAAAUCCAAUGACCUCUCUUGUUCUUUCUACUCAACAUUCCUGCUGCACUUGUCGUGGUUGCUUUCCUCAUCUGCAAAACUCCCUCUUCCCUUAAUAUCAAUGACUGCAUCUCUUUCUGGUUCUCCUCCAGAUUUUCUAACCACUCUUUCUCUGUAUCCCUUGUUGAGUCCUUCUCUUCCUCUUAUUCUUUCAAUGUUCAUGCUCAUGGAAAUCCUAUUCUUAUUCAUCUUCUAUAUUUAUUCUACACAUUCUCACUGGGUGAUCUUAGCAAUACUGUCAUUAUAUGAUGACUACUAUUCCUACAUUUAUAGCUCUGGUAUCUGUUCUUGGCUCCAGAUUAAAAUUUUCAACUGUAGAUUAGAUAUCCUCGUGUGUCCCUGACAUGAAUAAACAAAAUCACUGUCUGCUCAGUUGCUCAAAAUGGAACCUUGAGUCAAACAUUACUCUUUCUAUUGUACCCGCUACAUCUUGUCUGAUGCAAUUUUACCUUAAGUUUAUCUUGUGAAUCUUGCCCGUUUUCUAACCCAUUGCCACUCCCUAAGCCCAAACCUUCAUCAUCUCUCUUUUGUGGAUGAUUGUCCUGGAACCCUGGUCCCUUACCUUUUUCGUAUAUCCUUUGAAAGGUAUCUUGAGUUAUCUUCUUAGAAAUCUUAUGUAAUUAUGCUCCUCUUCUGCUUAAAAACCUUGAUUGCCUUCCUGUUACCUGUGGUUAAAUCUAUGCUUCAAUAAUCUUCUUUACAUUCUGGCCUUAACUAACUUUAUUCUGUAGGCUUAUCUUCUAUGAUUUAUCCCUUUCACUUCCUCUAGAGAUACUCAUCUUUUAUUAUCCCCCAAACUAGCAAUGUUCUUUCCAGACAUGGACAGUUCUCUAUCUGAAAUUCCCCUUUUCAUUCAUUGAACACCUAUUUGCUCUCAAUACCAAAUUCAAGUACCUCCUCUUUUAUAAAGCCUAGAGCUACUUCUUUUUCCUCCUCAGUGAACUGAGUUCUCCUGUACCACGGGCCCUCUAGAGAAAAAUAAAGGUCAUCACUAUUAGUGGAUACCUUAGUUAGCCCCCCUAGUCUUUUGUAAAGAUUUUUGGUUCACUGCCUCAUAAUCUGGGAGAAUCCUGUACUUGAGAACUACUCAAUUUUUUUGUAAAGCUGGAAGAUGAAGCUCAAGAGGAGAAUUUCAGAAGAUGCCCAACCACAGACUCACUGGUUGGAAGGAAGUAUGGGCCAUAACCAUGAAGUGAACCUGAAAUUACUUUAGCAGUCAGAACUCCCUGGCAAUUCAGGUAUAUCCAAUAUUAUCAACAUGUAUGAUUUAUGCGCCUUUGGUUUUAUUUACUGAACACUGCAGACACUGAGUAGGAGAGUGCCUUAGGCCAGGGAUUCUAUUUGGAUAAGUUAGAUGUCACUAUCCAUCCAUGUUCGGUAUUAGGCAUGGAAAAGAAAACUUUUUAUAAAUGGGAUAUUGGUACUGAAAUAGUGGUAAAGUAGAAGAAGGUGGGAUAGUAAAGUUGCAGGUUAGAAUGCUGAUAAGUUAACAAUUCUCCUUUGAAUCACCCUCUACUUUGUACUUAGCGCAGUGUCCUAUGCAUAAUAAAUGCGUGAUACAUGUCUACAUGUAAAUAAAUCCACUUACUCAACAUUAAAUAUUUAUUAAGCUCCUAGAUAAACAGAAAGUGCACAAAAACCUGGGGCUUCAAAGAUAAAUUCAAUUCAACCUGUAAUAGAAAGGGCAGCAGCUGUGUUACAAAUAUAUUCAAUAAAGUAUUGCAGAUGGGGAAUGAGUGUCCCUGUUGUCAUUUUCUAAUGACUUAUACUCCCCUCCAUCCUAGGUUAUAUAUAAGGAAAGGUAGUGUUUGUCCAAGUCCUAUUUGGCAGCAGGAUAACUUUUUCUUCCCCUAAAUAACAAGAAUGAUAAAAUUCUGGCUGUUUUCUAUUCAAGAAAAUGCAGUGAGGAGUCAAAUGAGAUGAUACAUAUGGAGGGACUUCAUGAAUUUUAAGUGAAUCACAAUAAUUAGCAGAUAAUAAUAACUUAGUUCAGUUCUUAAUAUUCAAGUUUGCAUUGGUACAGAUUCUGAGAUUAAGGAUUAGUGUUAUCAAUUUUUAAAUUUACUUGAUAAAUGUCUAUUGACAACCUACCUACUGUCACGUGUUGGAGAUACAAUGUAGAAUGAGAUAAGCUCAAUCCUAACCUUCUUGAACUAGUCUAGGAUGGAAAGAAAUAGAGAAGCAACUAAUCACAAGAUAGACUCUAGACUGAGCACGUAGGAAAGGUUGGGAUUUGUAGUUUAAGAGAGGCUUUCUAGAGGAAAUGACAUUAACCUGAAGUCAGAGUAGAGAGUAAGCUGUUGGAAAGGCAGGGAUGGUAGAGAGAAAUGCAAGUGCCAAGCACCAGAAAUAAAAGGUUUGAGGAAUGGCAAAUGGGGCAUCGAGGCUGGAACAUAGAGUGGGAAGGUGUGGCUUGAGAUGUGGAAUGAAGAUGUUGAAAUUGACAAUAUAGAUGCUUGGCUUUCCCACUUCUUUGUCUCAUUUCCUCACUCUCUUAUAUGUCUCCCCUGAUUGCUUAUUCUUAAUAAAUCUCUUUUGCACAGGGUCUGCUUCUUGGAAACUCAACCUCAGACAGAUGUAGUAAAGAACCUAAACACAGAGAUCUUUGUGAGACAUGUACAAGUGCAAGCACUUUAUCCAAAAAUGAUGAGAAGGCCUAGGAGAGUUUCAAGGGUCAUGAGAGACCUAGAAUAUCAAGGAUACUAGUAUUUUGAGCUCUGCACUCCCUUGGGUGACAGCUCAGCUUCCUUUUUCUGUGCAUUCAGAUAAAGAUAUAGGCAAUCAGGCACCCCAGAGCAGCUGCACUAUGGAUUUUCUAAAAAAAGUACAGGAGUUUAUUUUUGAUCUUAGCUUUCCUUUAGGAUCUAUUUAUUAUGUCAUCUUUAUUUCUUUGCCUUCUUUGCACCUGCCACAUCACCCAUCUAAAGUCAAUAAUAUUUUUUAAAGGUGUCAUUCUGUGAUGUAUAUAGCAUAUUACAUGAUGUCACUGAUGGAUACUUUUUGUUAAUACCCUCAAGUGCUUUGCUCUAUCACUGAAGCAGAUAAUUUAUUCUGGCAUUUAUAUGAAAAGUUAGACACUGAGAGGGUACCUGCUUAUUUGAGACUUUAUGUAUGCAUGGUUUAUUAUGGCACAUAUUGUUAGCACAUGGCUCCAAAUUUUUAUGUAAUAAUUAUAUUCUUUUCAAUAUGUGGGGGAAUGAGAGAGGCCCCAUGAUGAAGGAAUAACUCAAUCAUGAAAGCUUCACAUGUCAAUCCACUCUUACUGAGCAUCACAAAGAUUCCUUCAGCCAAACUACAGUGCUGUUAACUAUACAUUGGCACCUCUUAAAUGAACUCAUUCUGGGAGAUGGAGGUGCUAUAGAAUACUUUUUACCCAGGAGCCAUUUGCAAACCCAGUUUCAACUGUAGGCAGAAAAAAAAAAAAAUCCCACGUGUGUAAUUAUCCUAUUUGCAGAGCUGGUUGACAAGUAGAAUCGUGGAGUUUUCUCCUUGAGAUAAGUGUAUUCUUUUGCCAAGGAAAUCUUUUUUUUAAUAGGGUUUAGGAUAUUUGCCCCAAGUCACAAAUUCAUACACUCUGCGGAAAGCCCUGCAUGUUAUAAACUUUGUUGGCAUUCAGGAGAUCUAUGGAACAGGAAGCCGCCUGCUGGGUUUUAAGUGGGAAUAUUUGCUCAGAAUAUUUGAUUAAAGGAUGCACUUAAAUGAGGCAUAUGUGCAUGAUAAACAAACGUGAGUCAGAAACUUGGGGGAAAUAAAAGGAACACAUAUUCCAGACUGUGGAUAAUUCCUUUUAUGUUGGGAGAGCUAGAGAAAUACAUCUGAUAAUAUAGGAUUAGUUUGAUAAAGAUCAGGUUAAGCAUGCCACUGGUUACAGAGUGGGCACGGAUUCUAGGAAAUGAAAUGGUAAUAUUUCAGAUAAAAUAAAUACUGAAUAGUAUGGCAACCUUAUUAACAAACUGUGACCUUAGAUUUUGGAGAGAACAGGUAGCCUGGCAUUCAUCUAUUUAAAAAGGCCUCUGAAAAAAGUGAAAUUUUCAGUGCCAGGGCUUCCUAUUCACAAGGCAUGACCCUGGGCAUAUGUAACAUUUCCUUUCAAACAGGGAUGAUGUCUUAAAUUUUUAUAUUUUGGGAACACACUGUAUAUACUUCCUUUGGAAAGCAAAUCUCAGGAUUCCAAAGAAAAUCUUAUCCUCUUGUUCAUAUUCCUUGACAUCUAUAACUAAUAAUUCAGCAAAGCCACCUUCUCAUACCCCAAUAUCUAAUGACACCGUCUGUCCCUUGGAAAUGGAGAAGCUGUGACCCUGGAAGCAAAUGAUAGCAAAGGAUCUAAGUCAGGCACUCAGAUUAUAUAAAACAAAAUUUGAACUCAAAGUAAGCAAAUGUGUGCAUGCCCAAAUAACUUCUUUAUAGUUAACCUUUAUUCAGUUCUUCUUCAAGAUGCAGUGUAUCUAAGACUGCCAACCUCAAUCAAAAGACAAACUUAAUCAGUGCUGUGGUUUUAAUGUGUCCCCCAAAGCUCAUGUGUUGAAAAUUUAAUCCCCAAUUCAAUAAUGUUGAGAGGUGAUGCCUCUAAGAGAUGAUUAGGUCAUGAGGGCUGUGCCCUCAUGAAUGGAUUAAUGUCAUUGUCAUAGGAGUGGGUUAGUUCUCACUGGAAUGGCUUCCUGAUAAAAGGAUGAAUUCAGUCCCCUUCCCCUUCUUCCUUAUGCCCUCUUGCCCUUCUGCUUUCUACCGUGGGAUGAUGCAGCAAGAAGACCCUCGCCAGAUGCAGACUCCUCAGCCUUGGACUCCCAAGCCUCCAGAACUGAAGUGAUGGAAAAACUAUUCUCAGCAAAUGAGUGGAAAUUGCACAACUACAAGAUUUACCCAUUUUUUGAAAGCUGCCUGAGAAAGAAGAUAGCAAUCCAAAAGAAAAUUCUUCAUACAGUUCACAGAUGCUAACUGAUCCCCUGUUCCAUCAACCAUAACUACAGCUUUGACCGGACAAGAGACUGAUGUCAGUAACUUUCUCCUAAUAAGAAGACCACCAACCAUGGACUGAUGAUUCUGGCUGGUUUAAAGAGAUCACUCUUGCAUGCCUCUGUGUCCUAAAAAGGCCUUUUGACAUACAGGCCCUAAUUGUAAGACAUUUAAAUGUUAAGUCUCCACCUCAAAGUGAACAUGGGUUGUAUGUUACAUGCAUGUUUGCUUUAUACACAUGCAUCAGAACCACCUUUGUGAAUAUUCGUAGCCUUCUAUAACCUGUUGAAUAUGUAUGUUUAGCCAACCUGUUCAACAUAAAGCUCCUAUACCAACCGUUCCUCCUUUGAAGUGCCUGUCUCUGGUCUUGUCCAAAGACAUGCUUCCCAGGCUGCAGGAUGGUCACUUUGCAGACUAUAACCCUUUACAAGAAAUAAAGUCUCCUUUCCUUUUCCAAAUUUAUAGAUUUAAGUUGACAAAAUGAAUACUCCAAGAUCCCAUCAUCCAUAUAUUCUGUAGAUGGAGAGGUGUGGGGCCCAGGAUUUGCCUUUUUAACCAGACUCUCAGGUGGCUUUGAAUCAGGUCUUCUGAAAAACAUGGCUUGAGAAACACAUCUGGUUGGUUGUUAAUUUGUUUUAGUAUUAAAUCCUAAAUCCUUUGAUUUGGCAUACUAUAUACAAACUUAUGUAAUAAACCAGAGUUAAUUCAAAGGAAAAAGUAGAAUAUGAGAAAUCCAUUGUCAGCACCGUACAUUAUAUUUAUAAAUUUUCCUGAAUCACAUAAUCUAACUUAAGUUUGGUUUGCCAAAUGUGUGCCUCAUUCACUUUUCAGAGACUCUGAGAUUCAAAUAUAAAUAAACGGAUCCCUUGUUUUCUGAAUACAUUUAUUUGGGUGGUGGGAAAUGGGCAAAAUGCUUUUUCUAAUAGAAAGCCUGAUAAAAGAAAUCUUGACUGUCUUGUUGGUCAUGAAGUGGUUAUUAGAAAUCAACAUCUUGAAGUAUUUAAAUGCAAAUAAAUUAGAAGAAGAUACAUUGUAUUACCUUCUGUGUAUGUUUGGUUUAAAAAUGAAGUAAAAAUUGUGUGGUAAAGUAGUCCUGGGCUUUUCCUAACGUAGGAGAAUUGCCAAGAUGAGUAGCUGUAUUUCAAGUGUGAUAAUCAAACCAGCCAAGGAGUGGGAAAUGAGCAACUGUUCCCAGAACUCUCCAUUUCCUGGAAAUGCACACUACUCUGCCCCUGGUCUUCAUGCCUUUUUAACCCCUUACCCAAUCUUUUCUUCUAACACCCUUUCUCAAGGUCUAUGCAGAGCAGAAGAGCAUGAAGGGAAAGAAUUUAUCUCAAAAAUGCUUCCCCAGAGAGACUUGGCAUUAAAUCUUCUGCUCAAAUCCAAACCCACAACACAUCCCAGCAUGGGGAGCCUGGAGGGAAUUACUGUAGGGACAAGCACAUUAAUAUUAGCAAAUAUGUUAAAUCAGACAGAAAGGAAACUGUAUUAAUUAUUUUCGUAAGCUCCACAGGAAGAUCUCUCUUUUUUUUUCUCCCUCCGCGUCUCUCUCUAUCCCUUGCUCUCUUUUU